AUAUGGACCUCGGAUCAGGUAGGGAUACCCG
rnacentral:rRNA from 1 species